GAUAAAAAUGGAAUUUUAUUUUAUUUUAUGACAAUUAUUUUAUUGUGCCUUCUAUUCAACCCAAAAUAGUGAUUCUUAUACUAAAUACAACUUGAUAAAGCGACCGACAUUUUAUUUAUGAAAUGACAAAGAUUUUGCGCUUUGAUAAACAGUAAAAUAAUAAUUUUUGCUGACGAAAGUUAAAAUCGUGUGAGUAGAUUUGUCUAUCCAUAAAAUCAAUAUAAAUAACUAAAAGAGCCCGGCAAACGAGAGGUGUUGUUAAGUGUGGAUACCAAAUCUUGCAAAAUGGACAAAAUUAAUAAAAUGAGGAAAGAAAUAGACAACGAAAAUGACGUAAAUCAUGUAUUUAUAACAAAAUUUCAUAUAACUUGUUGAUGCGGGAUUCUGGUUUCUGCUCGUUCACGACCAGGAUCUCUCCUCAACUCCCGAACUCACGACCAACCGAAGAUACUUCUCGUAACCCUUCUAACCGAGCAGAGCAAUGCCUCGUAUGACUUCUACUUAGCAGACUCUUGCGCACACAGAAAUUGGUCAGAGCACGCCGGGAGUUUUUCCGGUGUAAACCCUUCGACGCUCAAGUCAGAAAUAUAGGUUUACUUUUUGGGAAACUUGGCCACUAAUCUUGUGGCUAUUUUAUGAUCUCUUAGGCAAUCAAAAUACCUCUAAGUUUUUCUCUCGUUUCUCAGUGAAUACUUUUUUCUUAAGCUCUAAUCUGAAAAUGUCUAACCAGUUUACCUUCAUUGAUUACCUUUUUAUAGCCUUCCUACAAAUCCGGCCCCCCACGAUCCACGUCCAUCACUUCCCCCAGCUCACGGAAGUGGAUGCUUGAAUGUCGUAAUUACGGCUGAGUGGGUUUCGUGCCUAGACUCUCAGAUAGGAGUGCACGUCUUGUUAACUGCAACAGACUGGGUCUGGGUCUGCCAACCUCGAUCUCCAGUGGGAAAGGCUCUCGGCUCCUAGUAGGAGGCCAUCUCGCGCUAUGGUCCCGAAGAGGGCAUCCUCUCGUGAACAAGCUGUUAGCCUAAAGGGCUACACAUAAUGUAAUUUUGAUGAUAACAAACAUGUGUCUUAAGUAAAAAUAAUAAAUAUUGUAUUUCACAUUUACACUAGUUUUUGAAGGAUAAUAUUUAUGCUAGUGAAUCAAGUGAAAUCAAGAUUGAAGACACUCAACGGACAACGGCGAAAUCAAGAAUAAAGCUUAGAGCUCAACGGACGAAUUAUUGCGACAAAUU
rnacentral:lncRNA from 1 species